rnacentral:rRNA from 1 species
AUGCCAUCCCACAUCUUAGUUGGCUCCUUUCACUCAAACCAAAUCCAACGAAGCCUAAGCGCCCUAGCAAAUUUCUCUGUGUUUAGCACUCCAAGACCCCCAUUGGCGAUUGGGCGGCAAAUGGUGUCCCAAUUAACCUUGCAUUUGGCUCCGGUGGUCUUGUCCAUUCCUUCCCAAAGGAACGCUUGCUCAAGCUUGUUGAUAUUUUUGAGGGUGCUUGGAGGGACGACGAGCGAAGUGAUGAAGAAGAUGGCUUGGGAGGCAAGCACCGACUUGACCAAGGCGGUGCGUCCCAUAGAAGUGAUGUUUUGCCCGUCCCAAGGGACCAACUUUGUCGCAGCCUUAUCCUCCAGGAACUGA